rnacentral:rRNA from 1 species
GACGUAGGGGGCAAGCGUUGUCCGGAUUUAUUGGGCGUAAAGAGCGUGUAGGCGGUUUGGUAGGUCCGUUGUGAAAACUCGAGGCUCAACCUCGAGACGCCGAUGGAAACCAUCAGACUAGAGUCCGGAAGAGGAGAGUGGAAUUCCUGGUGUAGCGGUGAAAUGCGCAGAUAUCAGGAAGAACACCCGUGGCUAAGGCGGCUCUCUAGUACGGUACUGACGCUGAGGCACGAAAGCGUGGGGAUCAAACAGG